GCUGGGCUCGGGGGUCCCA
rnacentral:sRNA from 1 species